UAGAAAAGGGUCUGGGUCUUGGG
rnacentral:piRNA from 1 species